rnacentral:lncRNA from 10 species
GUUCCGGCCUUUGGCGCUCUAUGACGUCACCGAAGUGACGGAGCGGAAAAGCGCGAGAAGCGGCUUGGUUCCUUGUACGCAGAGGCGGUAGUGACACAGGCACAACUGACAGUGGCAGAAGCUCAGCUGACAAGGACUGGGGACGGCGGUGUCCUUGUCUUGCCUUUGUCGCCCCCGCCCCUCUCUUCCCUGGCUGGACUUGCGGAGUCCCCGCCGAAGAACCCGAGGGUCCCCUGGCGAUGGCAGAAAUGAACCCUGCACAGAUGGAGUCUUGCUGUGUUGUCACCCAGGCUGGAGUGCAGUGGCAUGAUCUUGGCUCACUGCAACCUGCACCUCCUGGAUUCAAGCAGUUCUGCCUCAAUCUCCCAAGUAGCUAGGACUACAGGGUCAUGUGGUUUUUGAAGACGUGGCCAUAUAUUUCUCCCAGGAGGAGUGGGGGCAUCUCGAUGAGGCUCAGAGAUUGCUGUACCGUGAUGUGAUGCUGGAGAAUUUGGCCCUUUUGUCCUCACUAGGUUGUUGCCAUGGAGCUGAGGAUGAGGAGGCACCUUUAGAGCCAGGUGUUUCUGUAGGAGUGUCACAGGUCAUGGCUCCAAAGC